UUUAACCGGAACAUUUUAACUUGUAAAAAUUUAUAUGGUGUUGUACAGAGAUGGCAGAUAAACCAGCAGUUUUAACUAAAUCACCGAAAAGUCCUUACAAACAACUAGAGGAACUUGUUUCGAAAAAUCGUUUAAAGUUGCAGUGUGAUAUCAAUCUACAAGAAAAUGAGUUUGUUGCCAAGCUUAUCCUUGAAGAUGAAGAAUACUCUGGUUGUGGAGCUAAUAAAAAAGCCGCAAAGGAUGAUGCCGCCAAUGAUGCCUUAAUAAAUACAAAGUAUCAUGAUGAAACAAAAAUUGAAAAGACAACAAUUACUAAGUUAAACGAACUUUGUCAAAAAAA